CGGAGGGGACUAGCGUUGUUCGGAAUUACUGGGGCGUAAAGCGCGCGUAGGCGGAUCAGCAAGUUAGGGGUGAAAUCCCGGGGCUCAACCCCGGAACUGCCCUUAAAACUGUUGAUCUUGAGUUCGAGAGAGGUGAGUGGAAUUCCGAGUGUAGAGGUGAAAUUCGUAGAUAUUCGGAGGAACACCAGUGGCGAAGGCGGCUCACUGGCUCGAUACUGACGCUGAGGUGCGAAAGUGUGGGGAGCAAACAGGAUU
rnacentral:rRNA from 1 species